rnacentral:rRNA from 1 species
GAUGAACGCUAGCGGCAGGCUUAACACAUGCAAGUCGAGGGGCAGCGCGGGAUAGCAAUAUCCUGGCGGCGACCGGCGGAAGGGUGCGUAACGCGUGAGCGACAUGCCCGUUGCCCGGGGACAACCGGUGGAAACGCCGACUAAUCCCCGAUGGGAUAUUGUGCCGCAUGGCACGAUAUUGAAAGUUACGGCGGCGACGGAUUGGCUCGCGUCCGAUUAGCUUGUUGGCGGGGUAACGGCCCACCAAGGCUGCGAUCGGUAGGGGUUCUGAGAGGAAGGCCCCCCACAAUGGGACUGAGACACGGCCCAUACUCCUACGGGAGGCAGCAGUGAGGAAUAUUGGUCAAUGGGCGGAAGCCUGAACCAGCCAUGCCGCGUGCGGGAAGGAGGCCCUAUGGGCUGUGAACCGCUUUUGCCUGGGGCAAUAAGGGCGUCGCGCACGUCCGAUGAGAGUACCAGGCGAAUAAGCAUCGGCUAACUCCGUG